rnacentral:rRNA from 14 species
GUAUCUCUGAAUGUACCCAAUCUCAUCUGCUCUCGGGAGCCAAGCGGGGCCUGGUUAGUACUUGGAGAGAUUCCGUCUGGGAAUACGGGGCACU